rnacentral:rRNA from 1 species
GUGGGGAAUCUUCCGCAAUGGACGAAAGUCUGACGGAGCAACGCCGCGUGAGUGAUGAAGGUCUUCGGAUUGUAAAGCUCUGUUAAUCGGGACUAAAGAGCCUAGUGUGAAUAAUGCUAGGAAGUGACGGUACCGGAAUAGAAAGCCACGGCUAACUACGUGCCAGCAGCCGCGGUAAUACGUAGGUGGCAAGCGUUGUCCGGAAUUAUUGGGCGUAAAGCGCGCGCAGGCGGAUCUGCCAGUCUGUCUUAAAAGUUCGGGGCUUAACCCCGUGAUGGGAUGGAAACUACAGAUCUAGAGUAUCGGAGAGGAAAGUGGAAUUCCUAGUGUAGCGGUGAAAUGCGUAGAUAUUAGGAAGAACACCAGUGGCGAAGGCGACUUUCUGGACGAAAACUGACGCUGAGGCGCGAAAGCCAGGGGAGCGAACGGGAUUAGAAACCCCGGUAGUCC